UACGAACGCUGGCGGCGUGCCUCAUACAUGCAAGUCGUACGCGAAUCCUGCCGCAAGGCAGGGUUUGAGUGGCAAACGGGUGCGUAACACGUAGGUAAUCUUCCUUUGAGUUGGGGAUAAACCCUCGAAAGGGGGUCUAAUACCGAAUAACACUUCUGGUUGGCAUCAACCGGAAAUUAAAGAUGGCCUCUGCUUGCAAGCUAUCGCUCGGAGAUGAGCCUGCGGCCGAUUAGUUAGUUGGCGGGAUAAAAGCCCACCAAGACUUCGAUCGGUAGCCGGUCUGAGAGGAUGUCCGGCCACACUGGGACUGAGAUACGGCCCAGACUCCUACGGGAGGCAGCAGUAGGGAAUAUUGCGCAAUGGCCGCAAGGCUGACGCAGCAACGCCGCGUGGGGGA
rnacentral:rRNA from 1 species